CCUGCUGUUCAUUUAGAGGUUUCCCCCUUAUUUAAAAAAAAUAUAUGUGGCCAGCCGGACCGGGCAACUUCAAGGCCUAAAGGCCGAGCAGCCCCAGCCGGCUGCGGUGAAGCUACGGCACCUCGGUGCCUUCAGCUGCCUUACGGGAGUAAGGCAGAGGCUGGCGCAUAGGCGGUGGUUGAGAGCAGCAGCGACGGCGUUCUUCGUACGCCGAUUUCUACGGCUCGAUCUUCCGCUCUUCUCGCUAAUCUAUUUGCCUCCUUCGUUUCUCGGCUCCUUAAAGGAUGGGCAGUCAACCCCUGAGCGACAGGCUGCAAAACACCGUGUGUUUCUCCCGUGUUCUAGUGCUCCUCUUGUGCGCCUAUGUGGCGCUGUGUUCGUCUGAUUAUUGUCCACCGUGGCCUGGUGUUUGGACUCUCUGCUGCGCGGUGUUCGUCUUCUCGGGCUGGUGCUGUGGACGUCUCACACGAUCUCAGCAGCGGCUCUAGUAUCUCCGUCAACUUCCCGCUGUGCAGGCCCGAACGUGGGCGGCGGAAUUGGUUUUCUGGGAUAGAACUUCAUGUUCGUUGAGCUGGUAUUCCCACGUAGACAAUCUACGUGUUGUGAGUUGCCCGUUGCCUCACUUUAUUUACUGUUUAAUUUUGUGCAAUCUGCUAGUAUUAAAUACUUGGGUGUGAUUGCACUAUUGUGGGCGGAUUUGUUUGCUCAAUAAUAAUAGCGUUAUAGUGAGACAACGUGACAGUUUGAGUUUUAGUGUGUUGUUAAUUUCAGCAUCAAGUAUAUAUUUGUGCCUAAUUAUAUCUAUAUUUGUUGAGAUUGUUUACCUAUGUUAAAUUAUGUUAUUUUAUUUAAUACACAACUCCUUACUAUUUGUAUUUAUGCUUGAUUACAUGUCUCAUUACAUUUGAUCUAAAACCCUGAUUUGGUAAGAUAGGACUGUCACGUUAGUCGAGGAUCUCUGAUCACCGUUUAGCGUUGGAGGGUUGUUUAUUACAGCAACCCGCUAUUUUGAGAGCAAUAUCAAAGGAUAAACUUUAAUGUUUAUGUGCAUAAUCUGCCUUCUUCAUCUACUAGACAUGUUUAUUGUUGAAAUAAACCUGAGUAGCUAUUUUACAUGUUUUCAUGCCCUAAAAUUGCUACUGUUCAUUACUGUUAUAUUUACGUAUGACAUUUAUCUGAGUUAUAUGCAUGUUUUAUUCGGAAUUAGAAUAUUUAAUAUAUUUAAAUAUGUUAGAAGCAUGUCACUUAUUUCUAUAAAACUUCAACAAUCUAGAAAACCAAUUCGUACAAUGGCCUCUAGUUCUGAUUUCAUUAAGCCUGAAACGUUCGACGGCGCAAGCUUUAAGCGCUGGCAUAUUAAGACUCGUAUGUGGCUCACUGACCUAAAACUAUUUUGGGUAAUGAUGUCGGAUGUUCCCGAGGCAGCAUCAGAUGAUGCUGAUGUUGCAGCAAAGGCUGCCAGACUAGCGAAGAAGGCCAAGUGGGACAAAGCCAAUGAGGCAUGCAUGUCUCGUCUGCUGAACGUCUUGUCGAACCGCUUAUUUGACGUGUACUCUAGUUUUACCUCCGCUAAGGGUCUUUGGACUGAACUUGAUAAUGAGUUCUCUGAAGUUGACAAUGGCAAUGAAUCAUUCACAACGGAAAACUACCUCAACUAUAAAAUGGCUGAGGGAAGGUUUGUUAUGGAGCAACUAUAGGAGAUUCAACUCCUUGUUAGGGACUUGGUCCAAUAUGGUUGCACCCUACCAGAAAGUUUUCAGGUGAGUGCAAUACUAGCAAAUCUCCCGCCUUUUUGGCGAGACUUUGUGACUUCACGUCGCCACAUGAAGAAACAAAUGACUCUCACUUAGUUGUCUGCUGCUAUAAAUGUGGAAGAGCGUGCAAGGGCCAGUAACAAGUCAUCCCAGCAACUCCAAGCUCACAUUGUUGAGAAGGGCGGAGAUAGAAAAUUCCAGAAGAAGAAGAACUCUCCACAGAAGAAUCUAAAACAACCUAAGUCCAAAAAGAUGAUGAAGAAGGAGGACUUUAUCUACUACGUUUGUGGUGUCUCCGGGCAUACAGCUCGGAGGUGCAAACUAAGGAAGGGAAAAGGUCCUCCACCUCAGUGCAAAGAAGAGAACGUGGUGGUUAACUCCACCCCAGUGAUACAACAGCGCACCGGUCUUGAUGGGAAAUGGUGUUCAGGCAGCAGUUCGAGGUACUGGACAGGUCUACCUGAAGUUAACUUCAGGGAAGACGCUCGUGCUGAAGGACGUGCUCUAUGUGCCCUCGAUGAGCCGGAACCUCAUAUCUGUGUCGCUGUUGCUUCGACAGGGUCUCAAAUUAGUGUUUGAGUCUAAUAAAGUGGUCCUAUCUAAGUUUGGUA